rnacentral:rRNA from 1 species
UACGUAGGGUGCAAGCGUUGUCCGGAAUUAUUGGGCGUAAAGAGUUCGUAGGCGGUUUGUCGCGUCCGUUGUGAAAGCUUGGGGCUCAACCCCAAGUCUGCAGUGGAUACGGGCAGACUAGAGUCAGGUAGGGGAGAACGGAAUUCCUGGUGUAGCGGUGAAAUGCGCAGAUAUCAGGAGGAACACUGGUGGCGAAGGCGGUUCUCUGGGCCCGUACUGACGCUGAGGAACGAAAGCGUGGGGAGCGAACAGG